UUAUGUAACAUCAGCUUUUCUCUCUCUCUCUCUCUCUCUCUUUUUUUUUUUCCUGAAAGGAGAACAACAUGAACUUCCCAGACUGCAGAUGGCUCCCAGAUCUGGGUGGUGAAAUGCCAAGUGGAUCCAGCAAUAGACGAUGGGGAAUUGAUUGGGAGUCAAAAGGAGAAGCAAGAAGCGUGCAGACCUGAGAUUGGUUCCGCUGCUCUACCAACACUCAGAUUUCCGGAUGCUUCUCCUCCAACUCUGGCCAUAUUGGACCAGGCUGUAAACGAUCACCAACCCCCACCUCGGGACCCCCGACUCAGUCACCAUUGAGGCCACAGUAAGAAAAGUCCUCAUGGGCAAGCCCCGGGAGAACGAGGCCUCCUCUGGAGAGACUGACCCUGCCAACGUCCUGGGGUGUUUGUUAGCAGGCUUUCUGUGACUGUGACAAAAUACCUGAGGUAAGAUAACUUAAA
rnacentral:lncRNA from 1 species